UAAACCCGUGAGUUGAAAUAUGAAUGCUAGCUUAAGGGAUGUCAAACAAUCAAACCUUGACAAACAUAAAGGAGGGCGAAAGACCCAAAAUCAAUCGGACACAGACAAUAAAUGCCAACAUAAUUUCGGUAUACCAAUGAUUAAGUUAUGCCAACAUGAACAAGCUCCAUAAAUACCUUCUCCAAGAGUCAUGAAAACGUUGGAAUGGGAUCGUCAAGGUCUCAUUCACUUUGCAUGUUCAUGCGUGUAGCCUACAUUUGGAGAUCCAUUGCUUUUACGAGCUGAAAUAUCUAUUCAUCCUUGGAAUCCGUACAAAUUGAUUGUUCAAAGGAAAGGAACUCCAACUUCGUCAUUCACAAACCAAAGGGAGAAUAAUGAUAGAUAAACUUUGGAUUACCUCCUUUAGUUUUCAGGACCAAUCGGAAAACGAUCAUGAGGGCAAAGAAGUGUCAGACACCCAUAGAAUUUACGGCCACCAAACAACGUUUGCUUUAAAUAAUAGAAUAAAUUCACUGAUAAAACACCAGCACAACUAGGUGUAUAAAUAUGAAAACGCUCCCUUGGCCAGGCAUGAGAAAAAAUGCCAGUAUUAUUUAAGCCAUUGUGUGCAACCUUACAACGUAAUUACCCCUUUUAUUAUUUGCUUACACCAGUAACUUUCACCAUAUUAGUGUAUAUGUGUAGCUAAUCAAAAUUGAAACCCCCUUUGCCUCCACAUUUCUGAUUGGAAAUUUCCCGAAAUACUCACUCAUUUUUUUUGUAUUCUGACAUCCCCGUAUUACAAUGAAAAGCUACCAGGGUUCCAUUCAUUUUCAUACACUGUUUUAGCUGUCUUCCGAUCAGUUCAGGUCUGUGACGUUUCGAUAGAUUUAGAGCAGAAGGAAUGCAAGUGCAUUAAUUAUGGAUCACACAGGCUAAAACCUCAUUGGCGGCUCGCUUCCCGACAUGAACCACUCAAAGUGGUCGAAACGUGGCCGUCGUUCUCAACUUCUCGUCCAUGGUUGGAACAUAGAGCGAGCAGGAGCGAGAAAGAGAAAGAGAGGGUUUGGUUGGCUCAAUGAGCGAAAAAAAAGUUUCUCCAGCUUUCUUGGAUAAAAACACGACGACUAAAGAAAUACGCAUUUUUGGCAAGGCUCUUGAAAUAGAAUCCGAGAUUUUUAAUAUCUCCUAUGAAUUUGCACUCGGACAAGAAAUAAUUUAUGGACAAGUCUACGAUGGCAAUGAAAUUCGAAUGAAAGAAAACUGGUGAAUCGUCGGGAGUGACAAAUUCGACCUGGAAUUGAUAUGAGGGCUCAUACCUUGAUGUGUCUACUUUGCCUUUAUCUUUCGAAAGCACAGGAAUCUCGAUUGACCCGUGAGCAAAUACCGUUCUGGGAAGAUUUCGAUGAAAUGUACGUGGAACGAGUUAAAAGUGAACCAGAAGAUCAAGGAUUUGACGAUUAUGAAAGCGAUAUCCAAGACGACACGUCAACUUUUGAGCGAACCGAUCAAGGCCAACCACCAACGAAUUUUGAUUCAGGUGAAAAAGGGAAAGAAACCACAGGAACCAUUCUCGAUCUGGUUGAAUCGGAGGAGUCGACCCAUAACGUAUAAGGAUGCAAAGGAAGAUAACUUGGGCGAAAUAAGAUCGUUAUAUUUCACAAAAGAAUAAAAUGAUGUCUAAUAUCA